rnacentral:rRNA from 1 species
AGAUUGAACGCUGGCGGCAGGCCUAACACAUGCAAGUCGAGCGGCAGCACAGGUACUUGUACCUGGUGGCGAGCGGCGGACGGGUGAGUAAUGCCUAGGAAUCUGCCUGGUAGUGGGGGAUAACGCUCGGAAACGGACGCUAAUACCGCAUACGUCCUACGGGAGAAAGCAGGGGACCUUCGGGCCUUGCGCUAUCAGAUGAGCCUAGGUCGGAUUAGCUAGUUGGUGAGGUAAUGGCUCACCAAGGCGACGAUCCGUAACUGG